rnacentral:rRNA from 1 species
UAGGGAAUCUUCGGCAAUGGGGGCAACCCUGACCGAGCAACGCCGCGUGAGUGAGGAAGGUUUUCGGAUCGUAAAGCUCUGUUGUAAGUCAAGAACGGGUGUGAGAGUGGAAAGUUCACACUGUGACGGUAGCUUACCAGAAAGGGACGGCUAACUACGUGCCAGCAGCCGCGGUAAUACGUAGGUCCCGAGCGUUGUCCGGAUUUAUUGGGCGUAAAGCGAGCGCAGGCGGUUUGAUAAGUCUGAAGUUAAAGGCUGUGGCUCAACCAUAGUUCGCUUUGGAAACUGUCAAACUUGANUGCAGAAGGGGAGAGUGGAAUUCCAUGUGUAGCGGUGAAAUGCGUAGAUAUAUGGAGAANACCGGUGGCGAAAGCGGCUCUCUGGUAUGUAACUGACGCUGAGGCUCGAAAGCGUGGGGAGCGAACAGGAUUAGAUACCCUGGUAGUCCACGCCGUAAACGAUGAGUGCUAGGUGUUGGAUCCUUUCCGGGAUUCAGUGCCGCAGCUAACGCAUUAAGCACUCCGCCUGGGGAGUACGACCGC